GUAGGUGGCAAGCGUUGUUCGGAAUUAUUGGGGCGUAAAGCGCGCGCAGGCGGUUCUUUAAGUCUGAUGUGAAAGCCCACGGGCUCAACCGUGGAGGGUCAUUGGAAACUGGAGAACUUGAGUACAGAAGAGGAAAGCGGAAUUCCACGUGUAGCGGUGAAAUGCGUAGAGAUGUGGAGGAGCACCAGUGGCGAAGGCGGCUUUCUGGUCUGUAACUGACGCUGAGGCGCGAAAGCGUGGGGAGCAAACAGGAUUAGAUACCCUGGUAGUCCACGCCGUAAACGAUGAGUGCUAAGUGUUAGGGGGUUUCCGCCCCUUAGUGCUGCAGCUAACGCAUUAAGCACUCCGCCUGGGGAGUACGGCCGCAAAGGCUG
rnacentral:rRNA from 1 species